rnacentral:lncRNA from 1 species
CCUGGAGCUGCUGGCGGUGGCCAACGCCGCAUCCCAGCCCCACAACUGCAGCACCUCGGCCGGUAGGUGACCCCCACCUGCCCUGGGCUGGUCCCCACCACCUCUGGUGACCCCCGUGACCACCUCGUGCUCUCCCCUCUCCCAGCCGGGCUCUGCUUCACCGCCACCUCCGCCAGAGCCACCAGAGCCGCGCCGCUGGCGCUCAACGCCACCGAGCUCUGCCGGAGGCACGCGCCGGCCAACUUCAGCCGGUUCUACUUCCCGUACCGCACGGCCAACGGGCUCCUCUGCGUCACCAACUGCACCCUCAACGUCCCCGGCUCCUUCGAUUGCCACCGCGGGCUCUGCCGGCUCACCCUGGACGGGCCCCAGUGCUUCUGCCCGGACCUGCCCUGGUACCUCUCGGCCGGUGACCGCUGCCAGACCCACAUCAGCAAACUGGGGCUGGGGCUGGGCGUGGGGCUGGGGCUGGGCCUGACCAUCCUCAUCCUCCUCAUCCUCUGCAUCGUCCUCACCGUCCGCUUGGCCCGAGGGAGGCCGAAAUCACCCGGACCAAGCGCGGCCGCCGAGGAGACUUGGCCGGACGGGGGCCGCAACAGCCGCGUCACCGGGAUCUACCACGUCAACGGCAGAGGCGGCGGUGCCGGGAAAGGUCCCUACGGAUACAACACCUACAAUCCCAGCUCAGAGGUGGCCGAACCCCCGGCGUCG